rnacentral:lncRNA from 1 species
CUAUUAUCAUAUAAUUUUUAAAGGUGUGUUAAUUUAAAUUUUGUUAGUGUUACUAUCAUAUAACUGUUUAGUUACUUCUGCAUUAUGUUUUGGUUACUGUUAGCUUGAAAUUCGGAUACCAUUUUUGUUACCUUGAUUUGAUAUUUUGGUUACUUUUUUAUGUUGUUAUGGUUACCGUGUAUUUGCUUAGUAUAUAUGGUUGACUAAACUGGUUUUGGUGUACAUGUUGUUUAUGUAUUGGUUACCAUUAAAACAUGUUUUGGUUACUAUCAUAUAAAUAUUUGGUUACUUCUUUAGUAUAUUUUUUGUUACUGUUAUUUUCUGAUUUAGAUUCUAUUUUUGUUUCCUUGAGUUGAGAUUUUGUUUCCAUUCGUGUUCCCUCAAUUUGGGAUUUUGGUUACUUUUUUUAUGUUAUUUUGGUUACCUUGUAUUUGCUUAGUAUACAUUGGUUGACUAAACUGGGUUUGGUCUACAUAUUUUUUUUGUGUUGGUUACCAUUAAAACAUAGUUUGGUUACUGUCAUAUAACUAUUCGGUUACUUUUUAGUAUGAUUAAACCAUGUAUUUUCUUAAUAUACAUUGAUGUAUUAUUUUUGUAAAUUCCUUCAGAUAUCUUCUACAAGGUUUAUGUUCUUCUAGUUCUACUUUCAUUUCCACAAACACAUCCUACAUGGGCUCUCUAUUCACUAAUCCCAAUGUAUUUUUCUUCCUCCCACAGGUUCAUAAUGUAGAAGUCAUUUCUAGAUAAUGAGAGCAGCCAUGAAGAAGAAAGUAGCAGCAACCAAAAAGCUCAAGUUUCAGGAAGAUUUGUACCAGAUUUUGAUUUGUUCGAUUGUCGUUGUCUUGUCCUUCUGAAUUGUGUUUCGUUCUUUGAUUUUUAUUGGAUAUCCAUAACCAUUUGUUAUGGUUAGUGAGUAUGUAAUGUUUUAUUGGAG